ACGCAAUUCAAACCGGUACAAAUAUCGUGUUGUGUUGCCCUUCAGAGCGAAAGUCGUCAGGAUACGACAUCAUCCCGCUGUGAUUGUUACAUCGCCAUUCAUUUGGCGCUAAAUGUACACGAAAUCGCUCGCUUUGUUGACAUUUCUUAGAAAAACAACAUUCAAAUCUGGAGCGUGGGGCCUUCCACACCCAAAGAACAAGAGUCUGCUGUCUGUAACUAACCUGAUGUCAAAAACACAAACUCUCAUCGGAACACAGCUGCACUCUAAGAAUCACACAAAUUCGUGAUUUCAAGGACGUUGUGGUCUGUACAGUUUCUCAGGAUUUUUAUUUUGCGCGCACAAUAGUCUGUAGUGUCGAUGAGGUGCUCUUAUUUACUGCUUUAGGUCGGGCGGCGUGUCGGGUGAAUUUAAAUAGAACUGGCAACAGUGUUGUGUUCUUAAGACCUCAAAUAUAACCAUGUGGUUAGACACACAUAGUACAUCCAGCUUCCUCCCACCGUGUCUAGUCAGAAACCAGCCGUGGUUUGGGUGAGACAGUCUCUCCAUGCACAUGAAGUUUUACAAGUCAACACAUCCAGAGAAAGGGAGUGGAGGAAAACAUAAGCUCUCUUUAAACAUGCAGAACAAAGAGAUGUAUACAGUAAAGGAGGACAUUUACAGGGUCUUCCUGCUGAGGGCGGAGUAUCCUGACAUUUACUCACAACACACCUAUGAUCUAUUGUCCUUGUGCCACAAUCACCUCCUCCAGGAACCACAGACAACAUGAGGAAACCUGAUUCAAUAGCCCCGAUGACCCACGAUGUGCCUAACUUUCAAUCUUUAUAAAAACGAAUGCUUAACUGA